ACUAUUUUGGCAGAAUAAUUGUAAUAAAUUUAGAAUUUAUAUAUGUAAUAUAUUAAUUUACAAAUAGUA
rnacentral:tRNA from 1 species